ACUCAAGACUUCCACGAUACGAAAAUCUUUUCCCGAAACCUAUACAAAGAGUCAGAGUUAAUGACGACGACAGAGCUGUUGAGGUUAAGAGUUUUACACAACCUUGAAAUAGGAGAAUUGGCGCCAAGGACAUUUUAUAGAUAGAUAAU